rnacentral:rRNA from 1 species
UACGUAGGGUGCAAGCGUUGUCCGGAAUUAUUGGGCGUAAAGAGCUCGUAGGCGGUUUGUCGCGUCUGCUGUGAAAACCCGAGGCUCAACCUCGGGCCUGCAGUGGGUACGGGCAGACUAGAGUGCGGUAGGGGAGAUUGGAAUUCCUGGUGUAGCGGUGGAAUGCGCAGAUAUCAGGAGGAACACCAAUGGCGAAGGCAGAUCUCUGGGCCGGAACUGACGCUGAGGAGCGAAAGCGUGGGGAGCGAACAGG